GACGAACGCUGGCGGCGUGCCUAAUACAUGCAAGUUGAGCGCUGAAGGUUGGUACUUGUACCCACUGGAUGAGCAGCGAACGGGUGAGUAACGCGUGGGGAAUCUGCCUUUGAGCGGGGGACAACAUUUGGAAACGAAUGCUAAUACCGCAUAAAAGCUUUAAACACAAGUUUUAAGUUUGAAAGAUGCAAUUGCAUCACUCAAAGAUGAUCCCGCGUUGUAUUAGCUAGUUGGUGAGGUAAAGGCUCACCAAGGCGAUGAUACAUAGCCGACCUGAGAGGGUGAUCGGCCACAUUGGGACUGAGACACGGCCCAAACUCCUACGGGAGGCAGCAGUAGGGAAUCUUCGGCAAUGGACGAAAGUCUGACCGAGCAACGCCGCGUGAGUGAAGAAGGGUUUCGGAUCGUAAAACUCUGUUGGUAGAGAAGAACGUUGGUGAGAGUGGAAAGCUCAUCAAGUGACGGUAACUACCCAGAAAGGGACGGCUAACUACGUG
rnacentral:rRNA from 1 species